AUUGAACGCUGGCGGCAGGCCUAACACAUGCAAGUCGAGCGGAUGAAGGGGGCUUGCUCCUGGAUUCAGCGGCGGACGGGUGAGUAAUGCCUAGGAAUCUGCCUGGUAGUGGGGGAUAACGUCCGGAAACGGGCGCUAAUACCGCAUACGUCCUGAGGGAGAAAGUGGGGGAUCUUCGGACCUCACGCUAUCAGAUGAGCCUAGGUCGGAUUAGCUAGUUGGUGGGGUAAAGGCCUGCCAAGGCGACGAUCCGUAACUGGUCUGAGAGGAUGAUCAGUCACACUGGAACUGAGACACGGUCCAGACUCCUACGGGAGGCAGCAGUGGGGAAUAUUGGACAAUGGGCGAAAGCCUGAUCCAGCCAUGCCGCGUGUGUGAAGAAGGUCUUCGGAUUGUAAAGCACUUUAAGUUGGGAGGAAGGGCAGUAAGUUAAUACCUUGCUGUUUUGACGUUACCAACAGAAUAAGCACCGGCUAACUUCGUG
rnacentral:rRNA from 1 species